UUUCCGUAGGUGAACCUGCGGAAGGAUCAUUCAUAAUAAGUGUUUUAUGGCACUUUUUUAAAUCCAUAUCCACCUUGUGUGCAAUGUCAGGGUUGAUUUUUCUCACGAGAGGAUCAACCCCAAACAUCAACUAUAUCUCAACUCUUUGUCUGAAAAAUAUUAUGAAUAAAACAAUUCAAAAUACAACUUUCAACAACGGAUCUCUUGGCUCUC
rnacentral:misc_RNA from 1 species